CAGUGUCACGUGCUAAUUAUAGGUGUCGUCACGAACAACGACUUGCAUGGUAAAUAUGUAGAUAUAUUGCACCACAAAUGUACCAUGUCAAUAAAGAGUAGACAUGCUUCAAGAAAGGAGUCGUGUUCUUCUGCGUUAGACUUGAGUGGCGUGUUGCGCCCGUUCGGCCACCUGGUCUGGCCGAUCUAACACUUCUUACAAGGUCAGGGUAAGCUUUUCUGGCGCCCAUCGCACGGACUUUGGACGCGGCAAAGAGGGCGAGACGAUGCUAUCACCAGGCCACAUCAGGAACUGCACCGAUUCGGUGCGAUGUCGACUGGGCCUCGCUGUUCGACAUCGUCGCCUUCCAUUCAUCACGGUGACGCGGGCGACACGAGCCGACAGUGAAGACUCUGGAUUACAGACGCUAGCAGUGUCCUUUGGCGUGGAUGUUCCCGUGGCUUUCCUUUUGCUCCACGGGUGCUUGCUGAACCCUCCGAAGGCGCAGACAUUCCGCGAUGUCGGAGGAAACAAGUGGCAGUACUGGCCUGCCCCAUAGUUCGCGCCGAUCUCGCCAGUCACCGUCGCAUCGGUCGUCGCUACGCUCGUCGCUGUCAGUGCGCGCUGCGAGAAGCCCGUCGGCCGCGAAGGAGCCCACGACGCCGGGCUUCUCGCCGGUCGUGGACGCCGACGACGACGACGAAGACGGCCAGGGUGGUGCCGGCAUCGUCAAGAUCGCCCGGAGCCCCCGACCUACAAGGCCUAGCGGGUGCCGCCGCGGGCACACUGAAGAAUUAAUUGUUUAUUGUACAUAUUAGAUUGUAGUAAUUAUUUUUUCUCUCGCGCACCUUCACGCUUUAAGAACUUGUUCAUUAAUGUUCAGGUACACUU
rnacentral:lncRNA from 1 species